rnacentral:rRNA from 1 species
UACGUAGGGUGCAAGCGUUGUCCGGAAUUAUUGGGCGUAAAGGGCUCGUAGGCGGUUUGUCGCGUCGGGAGUGAAAUCCUACGGCUUAACUGUGGGCUUGCUUUCGAUACGGGCAGACUAGAGGUAUGCAGGGGAGAACGGAAUUCCUGGUGUAGCGGUGAAAUGCGCAGAUAUCAGGAGGAACACCGGUGGCGAAGGCGGUUCUCUGGGCAUGAUCUGACGCUGAGGAGCGAAAGUGUGGGGAGCGAACAGG